rnacentral:tRNA from 1 species
GGAUGUAGCGCAGUUUGGUAGAGCACUUGAUUUGGGAUCAAGAGGUCACAGGUUCAAAUCCUGCCAUCC